GGGUCGUUACAUCUUCCCCCUCUUAAAACAUUCAUUCAACCUCCAACGAACAUAGAGACGUACCUGAUGUAGUGAAAAGAUGAGGGUAACGACUGCGUAUAUCCUGCUAGAUCUCCUAUGUCGCCUCCUCGACCGGCUGAUUGCGUCACUGAACCUCUAUGGAUGCUAUUUCUUUGACCUUAGCUUCUGAAACUGCCGAUCCAAUAUCGCCACUUGCUCCUCAAUUUAAAUAGAUCCUAGUCCAACUAGACUGAACUGAAAUCCAACACGUCUG
rnacentral:lncRNA from 1 species